rnacentral:rRNA from 1 species
ACGUGCCAGCAGCCGCGGUAAGACGUAGGACGCGAGCGUUAUCCGGAAUUACUGGGCGUAAAGGGCCAGUAGGUGGCUUGGUAAGUUGUGCGUGAAAGCCUCGCGCUCAGCGCGAGGAGGCCGGACAAUACUGUCAAGCUAGAGGGCAUCAGAGGGGAGUGGAAUUCCCGGAGUAGCGGUAAAAUGCGCAGAUAUCGGGAGGAACACCAAUGGCGAAGGCAGCUCCCUGGGAUGUACCUGACACUGAGGGGCGAAAGCUAGGGGAGCGAACAGGAUUAGAGACCCUGGUAGUCCUAGCUGUAAACGCUGGGUGCUAGGUGUGGGGCGUAGAAGUUCCGUGCCGGAGCAAACGCGAUAAGCAUCCCGCCUGGGAAUUACGGUCGCAAGGCUAAAACUCAAACGAAUUGACGGGGCCCCGCACAAGCAGCGGAGCGUGUGGUUCAAUUCGAUGCUACACGAAGAACCUUACCUGGGUUUGACAUGUACGUGGUACGGCGGCGAAAGCCAAAGGACCCUUCGGGGAGCGUACACAGGUGCUGCAUGGCUGUCGUCAGCUCGUGCCGUGAGGUGUCGGGUUAAGUCCCGUAACGAGCGCAACCCUUGCCCUUAGUUACAAGUGUCUAGGGGGACUGCCGGCGGGAAGCCGGAGGAAGGUGGGGAUGACGUCAAGUCAGCAUGGCCCAUAUGUCCAGGGCUACACACACGCUACAAUGGUCAGUACAAAGGGUAGCGAAGUCGCGAGGCGGAGCGAAUCUCAGCAAAGCUGAUCGUAGUUCGGAUUGCAGGCUGCAACCCGCCUGCAUGAAGCUG